CCUACGGGAGGCAGCAGUGGGGAAUAUUGCACAAUGGGGGAAACCCUGAUGCAGCGACGCCGCGUGAGUGAAGAAGUAAUUCGUUAUGUAAAGCUCUAUCAGCAGGGAAGAAAAUGACGGUACCUGAGUAAGAAGCCCCGGCUAACUACGUGCCAGCAGCCGCGGUAAUACGUAGGGGGCAAGCGUUAUCCGGAUUUACUGGGUGUAAAGGGAGCGUAGACGGUAGUGCAAGUCUGGAGUGAAAGGCGGGGGCUCAACCCCCGGAGUGCUCUGGAAACUGUAUGGCUGGAGUGCAGGAGAGGUAAGUGGAAUUCCUAGUGUAGCGGUGAAAUGCGUAGAUAUUAGGAAGAACACCAGUGGCGAAGGCGGCCUGCUGGGCUUUUACUGACGCUGAGGCUCGAAAGUGUGGGGAGCAAACAGGAUUAGAUACCCCUGUAGUC
rnacentral:rRNA from 1 species